UACGAAGGGGGCUAGCGUUGCUCGGAAUCACUGGGCGUAAAGGGUGCGUAGGCGGGUCUUUAAGUCAGGGGUGAAAUCCUGGAGCUCAACUCCAGAACUGCCUUUGAUACUGAAGAUCUUGAGUCCGGGAGAAGUGAGUGGAACUGCGAGUGUAGAGGUGAAAUUCGUAGAUAUUCGCAAGAACACCAGUGGCGAAGGCGGCUCACUGGCCCGGUACUGACGCUGAGGCACGAAAGCGUGGGGAGCAAACAGG
rnacentral:rRNA from 1 species